UGGAAUGAAGUUCUAGCAUUGUCCUUGUGAUGUUACAUGACACAUGGCAAAAAAAAAACUAGCAGAUGGUUCGCAUACUCGUUACUACUAAAGCUAAAUCAUCAAUGCAAUCAAGAAUCAAACCGUUCCCAAUGUGCUGUAACCUCAGUCAAAGGAAGAAGAAAACCACCAUCAUAUAUGUCUCCAACAGUGUGGCUCUAAUAAUUUCCCUGCAGACAAAGUACAUUACACCUGCUGGCAGGACUACUAGUACCACGCCACAGUGUUUCCAGCAUUAUUAUUAUUAUUAUUAUUAUUAUUUUUACCUAUGGGUACUGCCACACUGUAUCCAUCUUUCUCUGCCCGGCGCUUAUAUAACGCCUCCCCAUGCUUCUACUCCUUUCCAAUCUGUGUUUGUCUUUGCUUGCCCCCCUUC
rnacentral:misc_RNA from 1 species